GGAAGGGUAGCUCAAUUGGUAGAGUAUCCAAAUACAAAGUCGGAGAUGCGGGUUCGAAUCCUGUCCCUUCCA
rnacentral:tRNA from 1 species